rnacentral:rRNA from 1 species
UGGGGAAUAUUGCACAAUGGAGGGAACUCUGAUGCAGCGACGCCGCGUGAGUGAUGAAGGACUUCGUUUCGUAAAACCCUGUUCUAUGGGAAGAAAAGGACUGUACCAUAGGAGAAAGCUCCGGCUAAAUACGUGCCAGCAGCCGCGGUAAUACGUAUGGAGCGAGCGUUGUCCGGAAUUAUUGGGCGUAAAUGGUGCGCAGGCGGCUUUACAAGUUGGAUGUGAAAUAUUGUGGCUCAACCACAAACGUGCAUCCAAAACUGCAAAGCUUGAGUUAAGGAGAGGUAAGUGGAAUUCCUGGUGUAGCGGUGGAAUGCGUAGAUAUCAGGAGGAAUACCGGUGGCGAAGGCGACUUACUGGACUUAAACUGACGCUCAGGCACGAAAGCGUGGGGAGCAAACAGG